ensembl:snRNA U6 U6 spliceosomal RNA
GUGCCAGCUUCAGGAGCACAUAGACUAAAAUCAGAAUAAUACAGUGAAGAUUAGCAGGGCCCCUGUACAAGGAUUAUAUGCAAAUUUGUGAAGCACUCCAUAUUUUU